rnacentral:rRNA from 1 species
ACGAACGCUGGCGGCGUGCCUAAUACAUGCAAGUAGCACGCUGAAGGAGGAGCUUGCUCUUCUGGAUGAGUUGCGAACGGGUGAGUAACGCGUAGGUAACCUGCCUGGUAGCGGGGGAUAACUAUUGGAAACGAUAGCUAAUACCGCAUAACAGUAGAUGUUGCAUGACAUUUACUUAAAAGGUGCAAUUGCAUCACUACCAGAUGGACCUGCGUUGUAUUAGCUAGUUGGUGGGGUAACGGCUCACCAAGGCGACGAUACAUAGCCGACCUGAGAGGGUGAUCGGCCACACUGGGACUGAGACACGGCCCAGACUCCUACGGGAGGCAGCAGUAGGGAAUCUUCGGCAAUGGACGGAAGUCUGACCGAGCAACGCCGCGUGAGUGAAGAAGGUUUUCGGAUCGUAAAGCUCUGUUGUAAGAGAAGAACGAGUGUGAGAGUGGAAAGUUCACACUGUGACGGUAUCUUACCAGAAAGGGACGGCUAACUACGUG